rnacentral:misc_RNA from 1 species
UUUUUUUUUUUUUUUUUAAUGUAUGGGAAUUUCCAUAUGGUUGUUAGUAGUUUCAGUUAUAAUAUUGUCCUUUUUAAUAACCUGUACUUUUUUUUUCUUCUUAAAAAUGGGUGUGAAUUGUAGGGUAAUAUACAUAUACAUUGAUGGCCUUCUUCUCUCCAAUUCCAUGGCUUUGGGUUCAAAUUUGAACUUUCCAAUCAAUAGCUGAUCGAUCACAUUAAUUAGGCAAAAAUUAAUUUUGUUCAUCUGAAUUUUAUUUAGGCAAUAUGUAUAAUUGCCAAAUAUUUUUGAAUUCUUUUUUAAGAGUAAAGAAAUCCUUUUUUUUUUUAAUUAAAGAAUAUUCAUACGAUAUUUAUAAUAAUAAAUAUUUGCAAUUGAAAAUAUUAUAAAAAAAUUAUUCUCCCAUAUCAUUAACAAUUGAGGUUCAAUUCACCAAAUAACUUUUUAAACAUUCCAUUACUAACUCAAAAAUAAUUAUUUCAAAUCAUUUUUUACUAUCACCUCUAUCGUUAAACUAAAUAUUUUAUCAAUAUAAACUG